rnacentral:lncRNA from 1 species
GAGAGCGCAAACUUAACCACUCGGCCACGGGGCCGGCCCUACCAAACAUUUUAAACAACAUUUUGCAGUUGAUGUGAGAACAACCUUAAAAGUCAUAAGAGGCACAGGUAUUGUGGUAGCUCCUUUCUGAAUAUUCAUUCUUACUGUGUAAUGCUGAGGAAGAUCGUCCCGAGGGCAGACUGAACCGAUGCUCAAGGCUCAUCAUAGAAGUCACUUUGAAAAAUUGCCUGUGUCUCUGAUAGCCUCUAUCUGCAAGGCUUUUGAACCCUGUGUCUCCUGGUAUGAGAAGAGAAUUUUGAGUUAAAAGACAGCAAGAGAACUUGCCCAAUAUCACCAUCAAACUAGAGACCUAAGCAAGCUGUGGAGACGAACUCCCGCGCCCGUGAGACUGGCUCAGCAAAGAAGAGAUGCAGUCACUCUGGAAGAAUUUUCCAAGGCGAUGUGUCUGCACUCUUGUCACCGUGCUCUGUGCCUCAGAAGCUGACCCUUAUUGACUGAGCCCAUGGCUCCUUU